rnacentral:rRNA from 1 species
GAUGAACGCUGGCGGCGUGCCUAAUACAUGCAAGUCGAGCGAACAGACGAGGCGCUUGCUCCUCUGACGUUAGCGGCGCACGGGUGAGUAACACGUGGAUACCCUACCUAUAAGACUGGGAUAACUUCGGGAAACCGGAGCUAAUCCCGGAUAAUAUAUUGAACCGCAUGGUUCGAUAGUGAAAGACGGUUUUGCUGUAUCUUAUCGAUGGAUCCGCGCCGCAUUAGCUAGUUGGUAAGGUAACGGCUUACCAAGGCGACGAUGCGUAGCCGACCGGAGAGGGUGAGCGGCCACACUGGAACUGAGACACGGUCCAGACUCCUACGGGAGGCAGCAGUAGGGAAUCUGCCGCAAUGGGCGAAAGCCUGACGGAGCAACGCCGCGUGAGUGAUGAAGGUCUUCGGAUCGUAAAACUCUGUUAUUAGGUAAGAACAAAUGUGUAAGUAACUAUGCACGUCUGGACGGUAACUAAGCAGAAAGCCACGGCUAACUACGUG